rnacentral:rRNA from 1 species
GUGUCAGCAGCCGCGGUAAUACUGAGGGUGCAAGCGUUAAUCGGAAUUACUGGGCGUAAAGCGUGUGUAGGUGGUUCGUUAAGUCGGAUGUGAAAGCCCCGGGCUCAACCUGGGAACUGCAUUCGAUACUGACGGACUAGAGUUUAGCAGAGGAAAGCGGAAUUCCGGGUGUAGCGGUGAAAUGCGUAGAUAUCCGGAGGAACACCAGUGGCGAAGGCGGCUUUCUGGGUUAAAACUGACACUGAGGCACGAAAGCGUGGGUAGCAAACAGGAUUAGAUACCCUGGUAGUCCACGCCCUAAACGAUGUCGACUGGCUGUCGGGUUCAUUUGGAACUUGGUAGCGAAGCUAACGCGUUAAGUCGACCGCCUGGGGAGUACGGCCGCAAGGUUGAAACUCAAAGGAAUUGGCGGGG